ensembl:lncRNA
GCCAGUCAUCUGUUGGCUGGAGCGCCGAGUGAAGGUGCCGGUGCACUGAGUCUAGAACUGAGCAGAAGCGCACCCGUGCAGCUGUUUGAAGAUUACAGUGUGAAGGACAUGACCUUUAAUCCACCCGUUGCAGGACCACCCAAGAAGAAGGAGCGCUUCACAAUCGGCGAGGCUUUCCUGGACCCCGAUCUGAGAGCACAGAUCAACGCAGCUCUUCAGGAGGACGAGCAAAUCCCCCUCGACUUUGCAGCACAUCGGAUACAGAAGUGAGCGAACUCUGAAACUGUAAAUACGUCUGUAUUACGAUGUUUUAUAUCAGUGUGUUUCAAAUAAAUAAAAAAAAGUGGC